AUAAAUACCUCUGUCCAUGGCUUUGCAGGAUAAUGACAGACUCCGUCAGAGGGAUAGUUAAACUUCCUCCUUGCCAGGACUCUUUCUGUUUCACCAUUGGAUUAACAGCAGCAAAACCACAUUGGCAUUAUGGGAAAAAAAAAAAAAAAACAUGACAGUAACAGCAGACCUUUGCCACAGAUUAAAUCACACCCACAUGGAUCUGAUAUCAACUGGUAGGCACAGUGUUUGCUUUGGGUAAUCAAAUUUGACUGCAUGCUUUUAUUCUGACGCAAGGAAACGGACGACCCCGGGGGAUUAGUCGGCCCUUCACUCUCUCCCUAUUUACCUUGGAAGACUUCUCUCCUGUGGUAAAGGAGGGGACGGCUGCCUCCAGCAGGAGGUAGGCUAACGCUGCGGUUACCCUCUGGCACUAGCGGACCUGCGCCAGUUCAAAUGGGCCAAAGUGGCCUCGUGGGUUAGAAACCCCCCCUCCCCCCAUCCCCCCACGAUUGCCGUCCAUGGUGAGGAGGACUGCAAUGCGGGGGCGAAGCGUAUUUUGCCAGCAGUAAAUCACAAAGGACCUGAGGCGGUAAGGUACACACCUCCUUGAAGAGUGAUGUCGAGGGGUUCCAGACCGCCCGCGAUCCUGCCCUAUUUUCAUAGAGGCUCGGACGCUGUUUGUUUUCAAAACAGUCGGAUUUUUUAUGGGGACUUUUAAAGUUCCACCUUUGUCCGUUUGGCCUCAGAAUCUGACAUUCGAGAUCUUUUCAGAUUAAAGCUGUCAAUAGUCUUCCCGCAGCCAAACGACACACAUUGUUUUCCCGACGACUCCCUGGAAUGAAGUCAGGGAUUUGCGAUAAUGAUGUCAUGCCUUUCAAGCACACCGCGUCCAACCUGGAGUGUCAAGGACGGACGAUGCUAACGGGCCACAUCCCGACCUGCGCAGCCGCUCCUGAUAGCGGUAUGGGGGCCGACUGGUGCAAGGAGGGAGGCUGCUAACUUAUCUCAGGCCCAAGUUAUGUGCUGAGGUAUCACUGUAGACACCAAGGCACCGCCGACAAGGAGGAGGAGGA